rnacentral:rRNA from 1 species
CUUGGUCAUUUAGAGGAAGUAAAAGUCGUAACAAGGUUUCCGUAGGUGAACCUGCGGAAGGAUCAUUCACAAUGAGUGUUUUAUGGCACUCUUUAAAAAUCCAUAUCCACCUUGUGUGCAAUGUUUGUUGGGAGAGAGGCAACUCUUUCCCUUCACAAAUAUCAACCUAUAUCUUUAACAACAUUCGUCUGAUAACAUAUUAUGAAUAUACUUAAUUCAAAAUAUAACUUUCAACAACGGAUCCCUUGGCUCUCGCAUCGAUGAAGAACGCAGCGAAAUGCGAUACGUAAUGUGAAUUGCAGAAUUCAGUGAAUCAUCGAAUCUUUGAACGCAUAUUGCGCUCUUUGGUAUUCCGAAGAGCAUGCUUGUUUGAGUAUCAGUAAACACCUCAACCUCCUCUUGUUUUUUCAAAAGGAGGGUGGACUUGAGCUAUCCCAACAACCUUCACCGGUAGGCGAGCGGCUUGAAAUGCAGGUGCAGCUGGACUUUUAUCUGAGCUAAAAGCAUAUCUAUUUAGUCCUCGUCAAACAGGAUUAUUACUAUUGCUGCAGCUAACAUAAAGGAUAAUUGUCCUCAUUGCUGACUGAUGCAGGAUUUUACGACACUUUAUGUGUUGUUCAACUCGAUCUCAAAUCAAGUAAGACUACCCGCUGAACUUAAGCAUAUCAAUAAGCGGAGGA